GAUGAACGCUGACAGAAUGCUUAACACAUGCAAGUCAACUUGAACUUCGGUUUGGGUGGCGGACGGGUGAGUAACGCGUAAAGAACUUGCCUCACAGCUAGGGACAACAUUUGGAAACGAAUGCUAAUACCUGAUAUUAUGAUUUUAGGGCAUCCUAGAAUUAUGAAAGCUAUAUGCGCUGUGAGAGAGCUUUGCGUCCCAUUAGCUAGUUGGAGAGGUAACGGCUCACCAAGGCGAUGAUGAGUAGCCGGCCUGAGAGGGUGAACGGCCACAAGGGGACUGAGACACGGCCCUUACUCCUACGGGAGGCAGCAGUGGGGAAUAUUGGACAAUGGACCAAGAGUCUGAUCCAGCAAUUCUGUGUGCACGAUGAAGUUUUUCGGAAUGUAAAGUGCUUUCAGUUGGGAAGAAAAAAAUGACGGUACCAACAGAAGAAGUGACGGCUAAAUACGUG
rnacentral:rRNA from 1 species